AUGGCGGGGCUGGACGCGGGGCUAAGCCCUAUCCUCCCAGACCAUGUCAUCGAGGACAUCUUAGCGCGGUUGCCGGCCAAGUCCGUGCACAGGUACCUCCACCUUCGCCUAGCCAACGGCCAAGGCGGCGCUAGGGUCCUCCUCCUGCAGGAAUCAAGCUCAUGCAACAAUGGACGUCCGAAGAUCCAGGCGUGGUCGCCGGCCCACCCUGACAGCACCACGCUCAUGCAGGUCCCCCGCGCCCGCACACGCGAGCCCUGUCCAUGCAAUGUUACACGUUGUAUCAGUCCGACUAACUUCGUCCCACGCCUCUUGACGCAACAGUGUCGUGGCCUUGUCAUCAUUGAUGCAGUCUCCACAGGGACGCGCUACGUGUUUAACCCGUCCACCGGCCAAAUGGCGGCGCUUCCAGACCCGGACCACCCAGAGCAUGUUCGCAUGGCCAGGCUUGCCGCUGUUGCUGCUCCCUUGCUUAAUGCUGCUAAUACUACUACAAACAGGCUUACCGAUGUCGCUGCUCCUGCUAAUGCUACUAGUCGUCGUACUACUACGAACGACAGCUCGCUUCCCUUCGUUUUGUUGCUGCUAGUACCCAAGCCUUUAUUGCAGGCAAGGUUUACGCCCCCACGGCUUACCACUUGGAUGAUAGCAACUUCAAACGAUUUUGCCCAUGAUCCUGUCAUGGGUGGACGUGUUCGUUUCGUGCAUUCCAUCGCCGCUAAAAUCGUCCAUCCUCGAUGUUUCUCGACGCAGCUUGCUGCGAAAUUUCUGGAGCCAUUGUCCGGCUAUAAAUACGCCGCUGGGCAUGCAAUCAAUGGACCCGCACAGGGACUAGGGAUCGCCCGGGGAGCGGCCGCAAAGUGGGGCUCCGUCGCCGCCACCAAGGGCCCGUACGGGGCAGGAGCUGCGUCCAGUCGAUGUCGCUGUUGCUCUGGCGAGCGAGAUCCUGCAUCGCCGUCCCCACCCUACCAGCUGCUCCAUCGAGAAAAGCCGUCGCCGGGGAGCUGCUUCGCACUGCCGUCUCACGCCCCUGGCAUCCUGCACGACGGCGGGGCGACCAAUCUUUUCUGGGCGCUAUACAACAUCGACUGUUGGUGCGUGUCGCCGCCGCCUGGGCCUCCGCGUGAGCCGCCCAUACCAUACGCGCCGCUGCCCCUCCCACACCAGCGGGCUGCCUACGGCCUGAGGGAACAAGCGCCGCCCACGCGCCGUUGGCCGUGCCCACGCGCUUCUAGCCUCGCCCGCUGCCUGCGGUUUCGAACUGCAUUUUCCCCCUUUUUUUCCUAUUCCCGGACGAGCAGCAGCACAAACUUCAAACUGGUUAAUCAGGCCUUGACACGUGUGAUUAGUUUGGGCCUGGGCGUGUACACUAUUCGGGGUGGCUGCCGGCACGUCCUUAAGUGGUUCAGUUUGACAUUCAUUGGUUGGCACGUGUGCAGUUUCUACAAUCCUCAGGCGGUGCCGCCGUUGCCGUAUAUUCUGGAAGCCGCUCUUCUCGAUGGUUGCGGUUGUUUCAUGCUAUUUUGCUUCGUAACUUUGGUGCUCCGAUGGAUCGUGGUAGAUCUUGCCGGAGUGGUCUCCGCCGUCCAGGUUGUCCUCCUAGAAUUCACAGUUCAGUUAUUGGGUGUACCAAUCUGUGGCUCCGUCAUCCGGGCCGUGGUGCAUCCAUAUCGGGAGCUGCUGUUGGUGAUCCUCUGUCCGAUGAUAAUUUACUACGUGAGGGCCGUCCUGCUGUUCAUCGUGCCAUUGGCUCUACAUCUAUUGGUUACUCCAAUCUAUUUGGGGUUCGAGGUCAGAGUUCCUCUGCUGCUGAUUUGCGUCGGCGGCGCCAAGAGAUCCAACUGGGAAAGCAUCCUGUUGAUUGUGUUGUUGUGGUGCAUGCCGGGGCUGCCGGCGGGACCACGUGCAUGCCCCAUGAAGUUCCUUUUUCUUUAUCUUUUGCAUACAAUGUAUGGUUCCUCAGAAAAUGCCAAUGACGCCUGA
rnacentral:rRNA from 1 species